AUUGAACGCUGGCGGCAGGCCUAACACAUGCAAGUCGAGCGAGCGGCGGACGGGUGCGUAAUGUAUGGGAAACUGCCUGAUGGAGGGGGAUAACUACUGGAAACGGUAGCUAAUACCGCAUACCAUCGGAUGUGCCCAGAUGGGAUUAGAUAGUAGGUGGGGUAACGGCUCACCUAGGCGACGAUCCCUAGAUGGUCUGAGAGGAUGACCAGCCACACGGGAACUGAGACACGGUCCAGACUCGUACGGGAGGCAGCAGUGGGGAAUAUUGCACAAUGGGAGCAAGCCUGAUGCAGCCAUGCCGAGUGUAUGAAGAAGGCCUUCGGGUUGUAAAGUACUUUCAGCGAGGAGGCGUUACUCGCAGAAGAAGCACCGGCUAACUCCGUGCCAGCAGCCGCGGUAAUUC
rnacentral:rRNA from 1 species